rnacentral:rRNA from 1 species
UACGUAGGGGGGCAAGCGUUGUCCGGAUUUAUUGGGCGUAAAGAGCGUGUAGGCGGCCAGGUAGGUCCGUUGUGAAAACUCGAGGCUCAACCUCGAGACGUCGAUGGAAACCAUCUGGCUAGAGUCCGGAAGAGGAGAGUGGGAAUUCCUGGUGUAGCGGUGAAAUGCGCAGAUAUCAGGAAGAACACCCCGUGGCGAAGGCAGAUCUCUGGGCCGUAACUGACGCUGAGGAGCGAAAGCGUGGGGAGCGAACAGG